rnacentral:tRNA from 1 species
GGUCGGUUGGCGCAAUGGUAGCGCGUGGCCCUCCUAUGUUACCUAUACAUGUCAAGGCCAAGGUUGCGGGUUCGAGUCCCGUGCUGAUCGU